CCUACGGGUGGCAGCAGUCGAGAAUCAUUCACAAUGGGGGAAACCCUGAUGGUGCGACGCCGCGUGGGGGAAUGAAGGUCUUCGGAUUGUAAACCCCUGUCAUGUGGGAGCAAAUUAAAAAGAUAGUACCACAAGAGGAAGAGACGGCUAACUCUGUGCCAGCAGCCGCGGUAAUACAGAGGUCUCAAGCGUUGUUCGGAAUCACUGGGCGUAAAGCGUGCGUAGGCGGUUUCGUAAGUCGUGUGUGAAAGGCGCGGGCUCAACCCGCGGACGGCAUAUGAUACUGCGAGACUAGAGUGAUGGAGGGGGAACUGGAACUCUCGGUGUAGCAGUGAAAUGCGUAGAUAUCGGGAGGAACACUAGUGGCGAAGGCGGGUCCCUGGACAUUAACUGACGCUGAGGCACGAAGGCGUGGGGAGCGAAAGGGAUUAGAUACCCCGGUAGUC
rnacentral:rRNA from 1 species